UUCAGAUGGUGUCUUACUGGUUCGUACCAAGGGACAUAAUGGUUUCUUGUUUCCAACCAAAGAACAAGUGGCGAGCCUGAAU
rnacentral:ncRNA from 1 species